rnacentral:rRNA from 1 species
GAUGAACGCUGGCGGCGUGCUUAACACAUGCAAGUCGAACGGUGAAGCCCAGCUUGCUGGGUGGAUCAGUGGCGAACGGGUGAGUAACACGUGAGCAACCUGCCCCUGACUCUGGGAUAAGCGCUGGAAACGGCGUCUAAUACUGGAUACGAGUAGCGACCGCAUGGUCAGCUACUGGAAAGAUUUAUUGGUUGGGGAUGGGCUCGCGGCCUAUCAGCUUGUUGGUGAGGUAAUGGCUCACCAAGGCGUCGACGGGUAGCCGGCCUGAGAGGGUGACCGGCCACACUGGGACUGAGACACGGCCCAGACUCCUACGGGAGGCAGCAGUGGGGAAUAUUGCACAAUGGGCGCAAGCCUGAUGCAGCAACGCCGCGUGAGGGAUGACGGCCUUCGGGUUGUAAACCUCUUUUAGCAGGGAAGAAGCGAAAGUGACGGUACCUGCAGAAAAAGCGCCGGCUAACUACGUGCCAGCAGCCGCGGUAAU